rnacentral:tRNA from 1 species
CAAAGUGUAGCUUAACAUAAAGCACCUGGCUUACACCCAGAAGAUCUCAUUAAAAUGAUCACUUUGA